CCUGUAUGCUGUACUGGUCAGCGCCCUCGUGCUGAUGGCCAUGGUCAAGAGAAAGGAUCCCUGAAGCCAGCUCAAAGGUGGAGCUAGAAGCUUCCAGACCAUUAUCACCCCACCAUGGAGUUUCCUUUUUCUUUUCCUAGCCAGGGCUUCUGAAGAGCUGUUCUCAUCUCUCUACUCAUCCUGAUAUCUACUCCCUCAAGUGCUUGCACACCUCGACACUCAUGACCGAAAUCUCUCUGACCCAAGGGGGACCCUAGUGUGCCUGUGUUGACUGAACCAAUAAAAAUGGCCUGUUCUGGCUUGACUCUGCCUUA